UAUUACCAGAAUCCAGCAAACCUUAACCUAGGGAGUACUGCACCACCACCUCCUCCUCCAGAAGAACUAGUAAUUCCUGAAACCCAACCAACUAGACCUAACCCAUUAGCAGAGAGCAUGGUAAAUAUGACAGAUUACGUAAAGUUGGAUACUCCUAAGUAUAAGGAGGGUGAUGACCUAUUUGAGUACAUCAAAGCACUGAAGAUGAUAGUUGAUAAGUUAGGAGCCAGUGACAGCAGAGGCAUUUAGAUGGCAGGGUUCACUCUAAAAUGCAAGAAGGCAAAGAAGUGGUUCAAGAAUUAUGUGGAGCCAAAUUUAGAUAGCUUAUCCUUGGAGCAUUUUGCAAAUGAGUUUGCAAGAUGGGUUUUUUCAAGUAGUUCAAAGGAGUUGAAGGUGAUAGAGUUUGAG
rnacentral:lncRNA from 1 species